rnacentral:rRNA from 1 species
CCCUAUGGGGUGCAGCAGGUGGAAGAUCCCGUUGGGAUUCUUGAUCGUGGCCGACCAGCUGCCGGCAAUGAUCGUCGCCGACGGGCCCGCCCCUCCGGGCGAGCAGGACAGCGAGUCGACGUAGCACUUCGCCGGCGAGCCCAGGGCGCAGAGGUCGUGCCAGGUCGUCCCGUCAUAGACCUCGAGCUUGUAGCAGGACGUCUUGACCUUGGCCAGGAGCUCGUCCGAGGUCACGGGCGAGAUCGCCUGCAUCAGGCAACCUCUUUCAGGGUCAUGCUGACGCGAUAAAGGACCUCGUCCGUGUGGAUGUCGAUCAGGGGCUCGCGCUUGUAGGCCGCGAUCACGACCGUGUACCAGGUCUCGCUAUCCCAGGUGUUCUGAAAAUGGAGGCUCGUUUUGAACUUCCUGAGCCACUCGAAGUCCUCGAGCUUGGCGGGGGAGC